GAAAAUUUAGUUAAAUAAUAACAUUAAUUUGUCAAAUUAAAAUUAUCAAUUUUGAUAAUUUUCA
rnacentral:tRNA from 1 species